UUUAAUUGUUACAAUUUGCAAAUACUUUAUCGAAAGAGAUUUCAAAAUUUUCUCAAGUUUCAUUAAUCAAAGAACAUUUCAUGUUACAAUUCAAGUCAUUCCUCAUCAUUAAAAGUUGUUCUAAACUUGAAUACAAUUAUUUCAAAUCUACAAGUUUCACAAAGUUUUCUACAAGAGGUUCAAAUGCCACAUUCAUCCAAUUUUACAUGUUUCCAUACAAGGCUUACAAAGAAAAUUUUAAUGUUUCAAAGUUUGUUUACAAAACUCUUUUCAACACAAUCAAAUUCAAAGUUACAUCAUGGUUGCCAUUAA